CAGUAGCCGCGGGAAUACGAAGGGGGCUAGCGUUGUUCGGAAUCACUGGGCGUAAAGGGUGCGUAGGCGGAUUCUUAAGUCAGGGGUGAAAUCCCGAGGCUCAACCUCGGAACUGCCUUUGAUACUGUUAGUCUUGAGUUCGAGAGAGGUGAGUGGAACUGCGAGUGUAGAGGUGAAAUUCGUAGAUAUUCGCAAGAACACCAGUGGCGAAGGCGGCUCACUGGCUCGAAACUGACGCUGAGGCACGAAAUCGUGGGGAGCAAACAGGAUUAGAGACCCGUGUAGUCCCUGUCUCUUAUAC
rnacentral:rRNA from 1 species